UUUGUGUCUGGAUGCGAGUGCGCUGUAAUACCGAGGUAGCAGGCGUUGUUUGGAUUCCGUGGUCGUAAAGGGUGAGUAGGCGGGUGGGUAAGGCUUAUGGGACAGCGUACGGGGGAGCUGGGGAACUGAGUGGUAUACUAGUCGGCUUGAUGCCUGGAGGGGGGACGGGAAUUCGCGGGGUAGCAGUGAGAGGCGUAGAUGUCGAGGGGAACACCAGUGGCGAAGGCGAGUCCCUGGACAGGUCCUGACGCUGAGGCACGAAAGCUAGGGGAGCAAACAGGAUUAGAUACCCUGGUAGUC
rnacentral:rRNA from 1 species